GAAAGACUCCUUUGACACUGUGUUGAAGCCUAAGAGCUCUUUCUCAGAGUAAUGUUUUUAAAUACACAAAAUAAAAUACAUAGUAUUACAAUGGAGAUCAAAUUUAUUGAAAUUCCAUCAUCAAAACUAUUUUUUUUAAAUCGUGGACCAGGGGUUAAGAAACUCUGCUAAAGUGUUUGAAAAUCAUUAGUCCUCUCACUUUUCUAUUCAUUUUCAAGUGACAAAAAUAAACUUCAGUUAGGCAAAUCAGGCUGUACUGGUUUGUUUUCAAAAUCCCUCAAAUACAUGGAUGUCACAUAGUAAAGGCAUCAUUUGUAUGCCUAAACAAGAGGGGGGGGAGUAGAGGAGAGAGAGUGGGAGGGAGGGAGGGAGGGAGGGAGGGAGAGGGAGAGGGAGAGGGAAAGAACACUAUGUAUCCCAAAGGAUCUAGAAUUUAGCAGCCUCCCAUUUAAGAACCCGGCGGCUCUGCUAGCGCUAAUACUACAAUCACUAGGUGGCGCUAGACGGUAAGCUUUUCCCGACGAUCAAGGUGGUAUACGUUUAAUGGCUCAGGACGCUCCUGGAGGAUACCUCAGAAAACCAAACAGGACAGCCCAGAAAUCCACAGAUCUCCCUAGGAAGACAGCAUCCCAUCCAGGGCACGGCAUUAUUGGGAGGCAUUUUCGAGGUCUACAACUGCCAUCUAAGCCAGCUGCCCACACAGGCACUGUGCUGUGAUUUGCACAUAUUCUCUCAUUUGAUGCUCCCAAACCCCUGAGGAAGAGACACUAUCCUCUCUAUUUUGCAGCUAGAUGGGACCAUGGAGGUCAUCUAGUUCAUUCCUUUUAAUUGACCAAAUGAGGAAUUCUGACUCCCAGAGAUCGAUAGUCUUCUGCCCAAGGUCAUACAAGAUUGCUUCUAGGGUAAAAGCACUCAUGGGAGUCACCCAGAUGCCAGAUGCCACCGUAACCUCGGCAACCAUCCCAGCCUGAUGCUCUGGACAUGGCCUACAGUCAAUACCUCUCUCUCCUAACAUUAGGCAGGGACAACUCUACACCCAUUCUCAGCUCUGAAGAAGUUACAGAAGACUAAGACCAUUGCCCCUUUUCCCUUACAUAUUAGGAAAGGGGGGAGAUGACAUGGGCACUGUACCCCCCAGAAACCCAGGUGAACUAUUAUCAGGGAAACUCCCUUGCGUUUGCAUCCUAGAAACACACAAUGACCGCACUAGGGUCCUGAGAUGUUUAUCCUCUUUGAUAGUCCUCUAGAUUUAAGAUGGACAAAGAGAUGAAUCUUUAUGCCUCCAGGCAGACCCCAGUCAGAUGACCACCCCAUCCCACCAAACGCCUGAGGGCUUACCACUCUAAGUCACAUCGACACCAGUGUGAAAAUGGAGAUUUGAACUCUGGACUCCAAUUCCCAGGAGUCCUUGCUAGCUCCCAGAAUGCUCUCUAAUCUCACUGAGAUUUCCACCUAGGCAAGGUUAAAAUUUCUAUUUAACCUGGUCGGAGCACAUGUGGCUCUCCACCUAGCAGGCAAAAUGUGAGUGGUCAUGAAUAGGCUCUCUGGGCCUAGCACGUGCCUUUCUUACUUGUAUUUUCCUAAAUUCCUUAUCUUAAAUAGACCUCUAAAAAAUAUAAUACUUUUUGCAGAGAGAAACUAAUUUCUACCUGCCUCAGUUUCCCUAAAUUUUAAUAUAACAGUUGAAUUUUAAUUGUUACACCAGGAUAUAGCAUCUGUUGUAAAAAGUAUAAAAUCCCCAGAACUGAUAGCGUCUGGAGGACAGCCUUUUCCAUCCAUGCUGUCCUCAUGGAGGAGCCUUUCCAUUCAUGCUGUCCUCCCAGGAACUGCUCCCCAUCUUGCUGUCCUACCUUGCUAUCCUCCUGGCCAUUCUCAACAUUACUUUCUAAAUUAAUAAAUUUCUCUUUUUGUUUUUAAGCUAAGUUUUG
ensembl:lncRNA